rnacentral:rRNA from 1 species
UACGUAGGGUGCGAGCGUUACUCGGAAUUACUGGGCGUAAAGCGUGCGCAGGCGGUUCGUUAAGUUCGUUGUGAAAGCCCCGGGCUCAACCUGGGAACUGCAAUGGAAACUGGCGGGCUUGAGUGUGGCAGAGGGGGGUGGAAUUCCGCGUGUAGCAGUGAAAUGCGUAGAGAUGCGGAGGAACACCGAUGGCGAAGGCAGCCCCCUGGGCCAACACUGACGCUCAGGCACGAAAGCGUGGGGAGCAAACAGG